GCCUAGCCCUAAACAUUGAUAGUAUUUCUACACCUGCUAUCCGCCCGGGAACUACGAGCAUUAGCUUGAAACCCAAAGGACUUGGCGGUGCUUUAGAUCCACCUAGAGGAGCCUGUUCUAGAACCGAUAACCCCCGUUCAACCUCACCCUUCCUUGUUUUUCCCGCCUAUAUACCGCCGUCGUCAGCUUACCCUGUGAAGGCCUCAUAGUAAGCAAAAUUGGCAUAACCCAAAACGUCAGGUCGAGGUGUAGCGUAUGGAGGGGGAAGAAAUGGGCUACAUUCCCUAAUGCAGAGAAUACGAACGACGUACUGAAAUGUACAUCCAAAGGAGGAUUUAGCAGUAAGCAGAAAAUAGAGUGUUCUGCUGAAAUUGGCCCUGAAGCGCGC
rnacentral:rRNA from 1 species